AUUGAACGCUGGCGACAGGCCUAACACAUGCAAGUCGAGCGGAUGAUGGGAGCUUGCUCCUGGAUUCAGCGGCGGACGGGUGAGUAAUGCCUAGGAAUCUGCCUGGUAGUGGGGGACAACGUUUCGAAAGGAACGCUAAUACCGCAUACGUCCUACGGGAGAAAGCAGGGGACCUUCGGUCCUUGCGCUAUCAGGUGAGCCUAGGUCGGAUUAGCUAGUAGGUGAGGUAAAGGCUCACCUAGGCGACGAUCCGUAACUGGUCUGAGAGGAUGAUCAGUCACACUGGAACUGAGACACGGUCCAGACUCCUACGGGAGGCAGCAGUGGGGAAUAUUGGACAAUGGGCGAAAGCCUGAUCCAGCCAUGCCGCGUGUGUGAAGAAGGUCUUCGGAUUGUAAAGCACUUUAAGUUGGGAGGAAGGGCAGUAAGUUAAUACCUUGCUGUUUUGACGUUACCGACAGAAUAAGCACCGGCUAACUUCGUGCCAGCAGCCGCCGUAAGAC
rnacentral:rRNA from 1 species